UACAGAGGUCCCGAGCGUUGUUCGGAUUCACUGGGCGUAAAGGGUGCGUAGGUGGCGGGGUAAGUUUGAUGUGAAAGCUUCGAGCUCAACUCGGAAAUUGCAUUGAAUACUAUCCCGCUUGAGGGUCGGAGGGGAGACUGGAAUUCUCGGUGUAGCAGUGAAAUGCGUAGAUAUCGAGAGGAACACCGGUGGCGAAGGCGAGUCUCUGGACGAUUCCUGACACUGAGGCACGAAAGCUAGGGGAUCAAACAGG
rnacentral:rRNA from 1 species